GAUGAACGCUGGCGGCGUGCCUAAUACAUGCCAGUCGAGCGAACGGACGAGAAGCUUGCUUUUCUGAUGUUAGCGGCGGACGGGUGAGUAACACGUGGAUAACCUACCUAUAAGACUGGGAUAACUUCGGGAAACCGGAGCUAAUACCGGAUAAUAUUUUGAACCGCAUGGUUCAAAAGUGAAAGACGGUCUUGCUGUCACUUAUAGAUGGAUCCGCGCUGCAUUAGCUAGUUGGUAAGGUAACGGCUUACCAAGGCAACGAUGCAUAGCCGACCUGAGAGGGUGAUCGGCCACACUGGAACUGAGACAUGGUCCAGACUCCUACGGGAGGCAGCAGUAGGGAAUCUUCCGCAAUGGGCGAAAGCCUGACGGAGCAACGCCGCGUGAGUGAUGAAGGUCUUCGGAUCGUAAAACUCUGUUAUUAGGGAAGAACAUAUGUGUAAGUAACUGUGCACAUCUUGACGGUACCUAAUCAGAAAGCCACGGCUAACUACGUG
rnacentral:rRNA from 1 species